UUUCCUACGGGAGGCAGCAGUGAGGAAUAUUGGUCAAUGGACGAGAGUCUGAACCAGCCAAGUAGCGUGAAGGAUGACUGCCCUAUGGGUUGUAAACCUCUUUUGUCGGGGAACAAAGGCGCCCACGGGUGGGCGGAUGAGUGUACCCGAAGAAAAAGCAUCGGCUAACUCCGUGCCAGCAGCCGCGGUAAUACGGAGGAUGCGAGCGUUAUCCGGAUUUAUUGGGUUUAAAGGGUGCGUAGGC
rnacentral:rRNA from 1 species